GAUAGCUACAGCUCUCAGGGUAUUUCUCAGCCCCCAACCCCAGGCAACCUGCCAGUCCCUUCCCCAAUGUCCCCCAGCUCUGCUAGCAUCUCCUCAUUUCAUGGAGAUGAAAGUGAUAGCAUUAGCAGCCCAGGCUGGCCAAAGACUCCAUCAAGCCCUGUAAGUGGCUCUGGUUUUUUUUUGUUUUUUUUGUUUUUUGUUUUUUUGGGGUUUUUUGAUAAUUAAUUAAUUCUACUUGAAUGCUUGCUUGUUUAUUUGUUUUGUAAGACUUUUUCUUCAUUAUUUAUCCAUGAAAGGGUUUUCUUUAUAAAUAAUAAUAUUAGUGACAAAAUGAAUAAAGUUUGCGUGCAUCAAAGAAGUUGAUUUCUGGUAAUGAAAAAGCUGUUAUAAAGAAGCACCUCUAUACAAAGCAUGCGAGUGUGUUAACUGGGUCCAAACUCCUUCACACAGUGACUUUUUAAAAAUGUCUGAUCCAUUAUGCACUUAUAGAAGAUUCUUCAAAUGCGUUACUUCUCCAUUUAUAUGGGAACUAAUAGCAGCCAUUGACUGAAUGAUAAGUUUGGCCCCUGACCUGUAUUUUGCAUGUUCUAUCUAUUUCAAAACUGCCUACCUGAAAGAAGUAAAUACUCAAUUUGGGUAUGGUUUAGUGUAACAUCAGCCCUGCUUUAUUUUUAACCCAUUUGUCUGAAAUUAAUAAAAACGUACAAGUUGUUAGUAUGUGAAUGAAUUUUUAGUUUAAUAAUGUGUACCUAUGUUAGAAUCAGUUGAGAUAGAACAAUUGUAUUCUGCACAAGACUGCUGAUAAUCUUGAAAUUAAGUGUUGAUUUUUGUAUGAUAUAUAAAUUAUAACAAAAAUGUCACGGAUGUAUCAGGGAAUUUUGUAAGCCUCAAUGUUCUUCUGACCCUAGAAGUGGGCCUUUAGUUUCCUACUAAAGAAAUUCUGUACCAUUAGAGAGAAAAAAAAAAUGGUGCUGAAGCAACCUUUAUUUUACAU
rnacentral:lncRNA from 1 species